GAAAACAUUUUUCUACUGCGGCUUUGCCUUUUUUUGACGUAUGGUCGUUGUCUUUAUAUAGAGGAAACAAUUAAAGCAUGGAGUCCUGAGGUGUUACGGCACCGAUGGAACUCAGAAAAUUUGAGUUCAAAUCCUGUAAAAUCUCUUUAAAGCUUUCUAAAAUCCUUGAGAAUGAAGACCGUAUCUUGGCGUAUGUAGUCUGUAUCAGUUCCUUAAUAAUAGGUUCAAUUCUGAUGCUGAUACCGUACGAGUCUAUUGAUGGAAAUCCAGUACCAACAAUCAUCUUCAAGGGGCUUCCUUCUGAGUUUCAUGCCUUCGUUAUGCUCAUCAUUUUCGCCUUCGCUGCUUCGUAUUGCGCAAUUCUUAUGAACACGAAGGUAAAAUUUGCUCGAUUUUGCAGGUAUUAUUCAAUGAUUUCGAUGGCUUCGGCCUUCGCGAUAUUCAUUUCUGCCAUGUUUCGGAACAGGUGGAUUUCUCAGGCGGGUGAGAAGGAAAGUACAUAGUUAUACUACUGCAUAAAAAUUCUAGAAUGCGGACGCCUGAAGUUUAUAAAAUACAAAUUAGACAAAUACAACGCGGUUUUGCAGCAAUAUAACACUGCAAAACGGCGUUCUAUUACUCAAAUUUGUAUUUUAUAAGGUACAAAUGUUCGCGGAAAAGAAAUUACGCCUAUAUUAUUACAUAUGUUAAUUUAGUAACUGUUUUCUUUUUGCUUUCAAUUUUUCUUGAUGUUUUCUUCGGUUGGACAAGUAGUGUUGGAAUAAAUGUGUGAAUAAAUUGGCAUGCG
rnacentral:lncRNA from 1 species